ensembl:piRNA 21ur-8332 ncRNA
UUUUGAAGCGAAUAAUUGCAA